GUUAAUAUGUUACACUUUGAGUCCCCUAAUACUUCAUCAUGUCAUUGGCUGGAAUUUGAAAUAUAUUUUUAGGAAGUUAAUCCUUAUAUUAUUUUGGUUAUUGAAUUAGGGGUCGUGGAUUCCUUGUCCCAGAUGAUGUUUACGAGGCAAGAAAUUCCUUAAUCUCAAACUCCUUCUGCCUUAUUGUGUUUGCUUAUUAGUACAUUUCAGACCUUCUUAUGGCGAGGAAAAUGAGGAAAGAAUGAUCAGACUGCUGAAUGGUCUUUGACAGCCUGCUUAUUUGCAAUGGACAAUAAUCUAUCAAUGAAAUUUUGUUUGCUUAUUAGUACAUUUCAGACCUUAUGGCGAGGAAAAUGAGGAAAGAAUGAUUGGACUGCCGAAUGGUCUUUAACAGCCCGCUUAUUUGCAAUGAACAAUAAUCUAUCAAUGAAAU
rnacentral:lncRNA from 1 species